AUUGAACGCUAGCGGCAGGCUUUACACAUGCAAGUCGAACGAGUGGCGGACGGGUGAGUAAUGUCUGGGAAACUGCCUAAUGGAGGGGGAUAACUACUGGAAACGGUGGCUAAUACCGCAUACCAUCGGAUGUGCCCCGAUUGGAUUCGCUGGUUGGUGGGGUAACGGCUCACCAAGGCGACGAUCCCUAGCUGGUCUGAGAGGAGGACCAGCCACACUGGAACUGAGACACGGUCCAGACGCCUACGGGAGGCAGCAGUGGGGAAUUUUGGACAAUGGGCGAAAGCCUGAUGCAGCCAUCCCGCGUGUAUGAAGAAGGCCUUCGGGUUGUAAAGUACUGUCGGCGGGGAGGCGGUACCUGCAGAAGAAGCACCGGCUAACUACGUGCCAGCAGCCGCGGUAAUAC
rnacentral:rRNA from 1 species